UUGCUAAUUGAUUUUAGGUCAAUUCUACUGAAAUGUAUUCUAGUUUCCUUCCUCAUAUUUUAUGCUGAUCUUUUAGUUUCUUACAGUUCUAUAGAUUUGAUCAUUUUCUUACGGAGAAUAAAAUAUUUUAGUUUGCACAUUUUCAUUUGUGGAUACUGACUGCUUGGUGUAAAUCUUUGUAUAUCUUCAUAUCUUUAUAUCUUUUCCUAAGUAUAGGUCAGAAAGGCUGCUUUUGUAAGACGGAGAUUUCAUUAUCUCUGGAAGUGGAACAGUCUGUUUGUCUUCAUCCUCCCCGGCUAGAACUUUUUUUUUUUUUUUUUGAAGUUCCUCUUCUGACAGAAAUGUGAAUAUUUCCUUGUCAUUGGCACUUCAUUCUUCAAUUGCUCUAAGAUCAUGCUGAUUCAAAGAGAACUUGUGAAACAGGGACCUUGCUGCACCUUUUGACAGGAGAGCAGGAUUUGGAGUAGUCUGGAGACAGCACCUGUGGAAAGAAAUCAGAGUUCAUAAACAAUGCCAGAACACUGGAACCACUCUCUUGGAGGAAUUGAAAAGAUGUUUUUUUAAAAAUCUGCCGAUAUUUGUACAUCUUACAUUUAAACAUUGUGGAAUUUCAUCUUUCACAUGUCUAGUUUUCAUGUGAACCCUAGAAAACGACCUAACUGAAGAGAUUUCAGAGGAGAACUACAGAUCUAGCUAACAGUUGAAAAUGUGGUUUGCAAGGGAUUCAGUCUGCUGUCUCUGCAACAAGCAGAAGUCAAUACGAUCACCUUCUAUUAGAGGAAAAUAUCACUUGAGGAUUUUAAAUUAAGACUUUUUGCACUGUGUGCUUCUCCCACAUUUAUUGGACACUUGAAAUCUUUGGGGAAAGUUGUAGAGGCUCUGUACAGAACUUCAGAACAGGCAAUCUCAGUCAUCACUAUAUGUCUGAAAGUAAGAGAACAGUGAAAAUGAAAUGUCCUAACAUUAAAACUUGUUGCUGAUUGA